AACGAACGCUGGCGGCAUGCCUAACACAUGCAAGUCGAACGAGACCUUCGGGUCUAGUGGCGCACGGGUGCGUAACGCGUGGGAACCUGCCCUUAGGUUCGGAAUAACUCCCCGAAAGGGGUGCUAAUACCGGAUAAUGUCUUCGGACCAAAGAUUUAUCGCCUUUGGAUGGGCCCGCGUUGGAUUAGCUAGUUGGUAGGGUAAAAGCCUACCAAGGCGACGAUCCAUAGCUGGUCUGAGAGGAUGAUCAGCCACACUGGGACUGAGACACGGCCCAGACUCCUACGGGAGGCAGCAGUGGGGAAUAUUGGACAAUGGGCGAAAGCCUGAUCCAGCAAUGCCGCGUGAGUGAUGAAGGCCUUAGGGUUGUAAAGCUCUUUUACCCGGGAUAAUAAUGACAGUACCGGGAGAAUAAGCUCCGGCUAACUCCGUG
rnacentral:rRNA from 1 species